rnacentral:lncRNA from 1 species
AUGCAAGAAAGAAACAGAUGGAAGAUGGGAAACCCACGGCGUGAAGCAGCUUUCGCUGGAGAGGCGGGCGACGAUUCCCGGGGCGAAGACGUGCGCUCCUCUGAGGACGGCGUUGCCACACUGAGCCCCGACCACCACCUCCGAGCUGAGCGGCUCCACGUGUCUGAAAGCCAACUCAUCUCUCACAGACGCCGACAGCAAACAGCUUCAUCCGGGAUUCCUCACAUACCUCGGGCCGACGACAGGAAGAAGCAAGACGUCUGGGACUCGCGGGUGUGGAAGAAUCUGAACCGACGCCUCAUCUGCUGGCGAGCGGCCCGACUUCUGCUUCAACGCUUGGAUCGGAUCUCUUCCAGCGGAGCCAGGUGGGUGCUGGCUCGCACACAGGUGUGUGACGGCGGGUGAGACAGACAGAGGAGCAACUUCUGGAAGCGACGCUCCGCCUCAUGGUGACCCACAGCUGCCAGGAUCUGAGAACAACACAAAUAGUGAUUGUACAAUUUGCUUAAAGUUUUUUAGUGAAACCUAUUCUGGUGGUAGGUACAAUCUAU